rnacentral:rRNA from 1 species
AGUAGUUUUUUAAAUGGAAACUUGGAUGAAGGAAGUGAUGAGAUUUAGACUAUCUUAAAUUAAAUAAUUAAAUUUAUUUAUUAAGUAAAAAUACUUAAAUAUGAAUAUGGGACGAGAAGACCCUAUAGAAUUUUAUAUAAAUUUGUUUAAAUAAUUGAGGGUAGGAAAUAAAUUUAUAUUUUAUUGGGAGGAUAGUUAAAUUAUAAAAACUUUAUUUUUAUAUUAAAUCAUUAAUGUAUGAGUAAAUAAAUGAGUGAUUGAUAAAUUUAAAAAGAAUUAAUUACCUUAGGGAUAACAGCGUUAUAUCUUUAGAAAGGUCAUAUUAAUAAAGAUGAUUGC